CGGUAAAGAUUUCCGACUGAGAUAUAUGCUGGUAAUUGGGGCCAACACGUCCUUCCU
rnacentral:misc_RNA from 1 species